GAAGAAUGAGACUACUGAGAGGCUGAAGAGCAUGAUUGAGGACACAGCAACACAAGCCAGAAUUUCAGCUGAAUCAGAAAGGUCACCAGUGUGGAAUUUUUCCAGCUCCAGUCGCAAAUGUGCAAUUUUCUGGUUCACUUUCUGCAUACUGCCAAUUGGGCACACUGAGAAGCCCUGACUCAUCUCACUAACUACACAAUCCAAAUCUUUUCAGAAAUGCCUCCAAACCCGUUGCAACUGGUAUCCAUACAGUGGAGCUGCAGACUUUGGACUACCAACAAAAUGUUUGGCAAACUGGUGA